GCUCCGGUGGCUUAGUGGUUAGACAGUCCGACUCGGGUGCGGGAGGUUGUGGGUUCGAUCCCCGGUCGAGUCA